rnacentral:rRNA from 1 species
GACGAACGCUGGCGGCGUGCCUAAUACAUGCAAGUCGAACGCACAGUUUAUACCGUAGCUUGCUACACCAUAAACUGUGAGUUGCGAACGGGUGAGUAACGCGUAGGUAACCUGCCUGGUAGCGGGGGAUAACUAUUGGAAACGAUAGCUAAUACCGCAUAAUAUUAAUUAUUGCAUGAUAAUUGAUUGACAGAUGCAAUUGCAUCACUACUAGAUGGACCUGCGUUGUAUUAGCUAGUAGGUGAGGUAACGGCUCACCUAGGCGACGAUACAUAGCCGACCGGAGAGGGUGAUCGGCGACACUGGGACUGAGACACGGCCCAGACUCCUACGGGAGGCAGCAGUAGGGAAUCUGCGGCAAUGGACGAAAGUCUGACCGAGCAACGCCGCGUGAGUGAAGAAGGUUUUCGGAUCGUAAAGCUCUGUUGUAAGAGAAGAACGGGUGUGAGAGUGGAAAGUUCACACUGUGACGGUAGCUUACCAGAAAGGGACGGCUAACUACGUG